UGGCUACGAGGACGACGCUGGCGGCGUGCUUAACACAUGCAAGUCGAACGAGGCUGGAGGAGAGCUUGCUCGAAUUUAGCCGAGUGGCGGACGGUGAGUAACGCGUGAAUAAUCUGUCUCAUACAGGGGGAUAACGCAUCGAAAGAUGUGCUAAUACCGCGUAGGACCACAGCAUCGCAUGGUGCAGAGGUGAAAGGAGCAAUCCAGUAUGAGGUGAGUUCGCGUCUGAUUAGAUAGUUGGUGAGGUAACGGCCCACCAAGUCAACGAUCAGUAGCCGACCUGAGAGGGUGAUCGGCCACAUUGGGACUGAGACACGGCCCAGACUCCUACGGGAGGCAGCAGUGGGGAAUAUUGGGCAAUGGGCGAAAGCCUGACCCAGCAACGCCGCGUGAAGGAAGAAGGUUUUCGGAUCGUAAACUUCUGUCCUAUAUGAAGAGAGAGAGACGGUAGUAUAGGAGGAAGCCCCGGCUAACUACGUGCC
rnacentral:rRNA from 1 species